AUGGCGAUUUCCUCCCGUCUUCCAGCUCCUUGCUAUCUCCUCAUGGCGACUCUGAUGCUGCUCAUCAUCCAGGCACAAAGCAUCACUAGGCACUACGAUUUCAAUGUGCAAAUGGCGAACGUGACGAGGCUGUGCGCCAGCAAGAGCAUCGUGACGGUGAACGGGGAGUACCCCGGCCCGACGCUGGUGGCGCGGGAGGGCGACCGCGUGCUCGUCCGCGUCACCAACCACGUCGCGCAUAACCGCGGCACGCUCUGGUGGCACGCACACAUCUCCUGGCUACGCGCCACAGUAUAUGGCGCCAUCGUCAUCCUCCCCAAGCUCGGCGUGCCUUACCCCUUCGUUGCGCCCCACAAGGAAAUUCCAGUUCUCUUCGGCGAGUGGUGGAGGGCGGACACGGAGGCACUGGUAAGCCAGGCGCUCAGGACGGGCGGCGCCCCAAACAUCUCAGACGCUUUCACCAUCAAUGGCCUCCCUGGGCCGCUAUACAACUGCUGCGCCAAAGACACGUUCAAACUGAAGGUGGAACCAGGAAAAAUAUACCUGCUGCGCCUCAUCAACGCUGCUCUCAACGACGAGCUCUUCUUCUCCGUCGCCAACCACACGCUCACCAUCGUCGAGGUCGACGCUGUUUAUGUCAAGCCGUUCACUGUCAAGACCCUGAUAAUCUCUCCGGCCAGACCACCAACGUGCUCCUCACAGCCAAGCCGUUCUAUCCCAAGGCUAACUUCUACAUGUCCGCCGCGCCAUACUCCGUCAUCAGGCCUGGCACGUUCGACAACACCACCGUCGCCGGCAUCCUCGAGUACCACAACCCCCACUCCGCCUCCGAGUCAAGCUUCGACAAGGACCUGCCACUCUUCAAGCCGACUCUGCCGAGGUUCAACGACACGGGCCUGGUCACCAACUUCACCUCCAAGCUCCGGAGCCUCGCCACACCGCAGUACCCGGCGGCCGUGCCAGGGGCCUACCAACACCACACAGCUUGCGGCGGCCAUCAACAACAUCUCCCUGGUGCUUCCUUCGACGGCGCUCCUUCAGUCGCACUUCACAGGCAAGUCUCGAGGUGUCUACGGGUCAAACUUUCCGGUCAUGCCCCUCUCACAAUUCAACUACACUGGGGUAUCGCCGAACAACAGGAAUGUGGCCACCGGGACCAAGCUGCUCGUGCUGCCAUUCAACGCGACGGUGGAGUUGGUGAUGCAGGACACGAGCAUCCUUGGCAUCGAGAGCCACCCUCUGCACCUGCACGGCUUCAACUUCUUCGUUGUCGGGCAAAGGUUUGGCAACUACGACCCUGUGAAUGACCCAAUGAGGUUUAACCUCGUCGACCCCGUCGAGCGGAACACCGUGAAUGUGCCGGCUGGUGGAUGGGUUGCCAUACGGUUCCUUGCUGACAACCCAGUUGUAUGGUUCAUGCAUUGCCAUUUGGAGGUGCACACAACUUGGGGACUACGAAUGGCAUGGCUAGUGCUAGACGGGAGCCUACCGAACCAGAAGCUGCUCCCCCCGCCAUCCGAUCUUCCGAAAUGCUAG
rnacentral:rRNA from 1 species